AGGGACGGGAAGGAGGAGGACAGCGUGGCAAAGCUCCCCUGUGUGGCAGCCAGCCAGAUGCCGACGCCCAGCACGCCACAGCCUCCCAGCUGGGGCAUGGCAACAUGAGAGAGACAGACAGGGAAAAUGAGCUGUUCGAGCUCCCCUCGCCCCAUGGGGAUGUGUCUAAGGGCACAGGGAGGACGUGUGCAGAGUAACUGGUGCCAUGCCAGGUGUGGGACACCCUGUUCCAUGGGGGCUGGGCAGGAAGGGGCCCUACACCUCCAGCCCUGGGCCCCUCCCACAACUGUCCCAGCCCUGCUGGGAACUGAUUUCCCUAAUUAACACUCCAUGAAACAUCCUCACCUCCACCCAAGACGGCAGGAAAGAGACAUCCACUGUCAGCAGACGGGCUCGGUCACACACACUGACAGACAACAGCCCACGUUGCCACAGACGCCUCACACCGUCACACGUGGCCACAGACACGUGCAGUCUUGCCCUGCGACCUGGCGUCCCCCAGGCCCCGAGGCCCCAGCGUGCUGGCAGACCCACAGAUAAAAUGCAUGCACGUGGUUAAUAAAAUUACCUGCAAUUUC